AAAAUACAUUGCGUUCUCUUAGAAGGACGACUGUCAAAGCGAGAAGUUGUUUUAUUUAUCGGUGAGAAACUUUCAGUGGCGACGAGGAAAAAUAUAAAAAAGAAGUGCGCGUAAAUUAUACCGAAUAAAAGUGUUUGCUGAGACUAGCCGGAGCUGGAAAUACGGAACCGUUGAUGGUCGGAAUUGCGACGAACCGGGCUCGCUAGUGUACAAAUCAAGCCGGUCGAAUUGCGACGCCGUAGUGCAACCCGGUGUCUGGCGCUGUUGAAGCGACACGGUUUUGGCAUAUCAAUAGAGUGGAGAGCGAUUGACAAACCCUGGGACGGGUACGUAUUGCGCUGCCGACGGUAUUUCUGGCUGUGACGGAAGGUUUCUCGGGCACAUUCGGUGCUUCCGGAGAAUUGGACCACGAAAGCUCAUAGAGGGCAUCGGCAACGGAUUUGGCGCCAAAGGAUUAAGUGGCCAUAUUGCAAGAUCUCGUUGGGGAGUCAUCUAAUCUCGGCCCACAAGGGGCAGAUUAGACUGGUCCGUCAUGACGAAAGGCGGCGUAGAGUGGCGCUUCGGAAAGAGGAAGAACCCGAAGCCAGGCGUGGAACGAAAAGGAGACGAUUGGAGUCAGAGGAUGAACCUCCUUUCCUGGGUUUUCCGGCACCACCACCGCUCAAAAAUGAAAUACAUCCUCGGGUACUAAAUUCGGACUUCCCGUCAUCGAAACGAAUAGCUGCCACUGAUCCGAUGAGUACACAAAGUGAAUUAAGGCGAUCCUCUCGCAUUCGAAAAAAGAAGAACGAUGAUAUGUUCGUAUUUUCAAAGUAAUUAUGUUGUGAACUAUAAUAUGAGCU